AUACCUCUACCUGGCGGUACAGGCUUUACAGUGAUCCGCAAGGCUGUGGGUCCGGGGCGAGAAUCCUUCCGGCCGUACACGGAGCAUUGACUGGUCAAGUGAUCGUCCCAAAUGGACGACUCGGGUGCGCAAUUUAUAAGUGCAGACUGCGUUCGCGCUCUCCCUGA